GAUGAACGCUAGCUACAGGCUUAACACACGCAAGUCGAGGGGAAACGACAUCGAAAGCUUGCUUUUGAUGGGCGUCGACCGGCGCACGGGUGAGUAACGCGUAUCCAACCUGCCCAUCACUUGGGAAUAACCUUGCGAAAGUAAGACUAAUACCCAAUGACAUCCCACGAAGACAUCUGAAUGGGAUUAAAGAUUUAUCGGUGAUGGAUGGGGAUGCGUCUGAUUAGCUUGUUGGCGGGGUAACGGCCCACCAAGGCAACGAUCAGUAGGGGUUCUGAGAGGAAGGUCCCCCACAUUGGAACUGAGACACGGUCCAAACUCCUACGGGAGGCAGCAGUGAGGAAUAUUGGUCAAUGGGCGAGAGCCUGAACCAGCCAAGUAGCGUGCAGGAUGACGGCCCUAUGGGUUGUAAACUGCUUUUAUAAGGGAAUAAAGUGGGUCUCGUGAGACUUUUUGCAUGUACCUUAUGAAUAAGGACCGGCUAAUUCCGUG
rnacentral:rRNA from 1 species